GCUUGGAUAGUUCAAUUGGUUAGAGCUUGGUGCUGAUAAUGCUAAGGUUGCAGGUUCAAUCCCCCUAUGGGACA
rnacentral:tRNA from 1 species